UUGUGAAAUCUCACAAAUCCCUGGGUUCAGCGUGGAGUCCUCAGCACAAGAAGGAUGUGGACCUAUUGGAGCCAAUCCAGAGCAGGGCCACAGAGAAGAUAAGGGGCUGGAGCACCUCCUUUUUGAGAACAGGCUGAGAGAGUUGGGAUUGUUCAGCCUAGAGAAGGAAAGACUCCAGGGAGACUUUGUUGCAGCCUUUCAGUACUUAAAGGGGACCAAUAAGAAAGAUGGGGACAACCUUCUUAGCAGGGCCUGUUGUGGCAGGUGAUGGUUCAAAACUUGGGAGCUUUAGGUUAAAGGAAGAAUUUUGUAUUUUUUUUACAGUGAGGGUGGUGGAACACUGGUACGUGUUGCCCAGAGAGCUGGUAGAAGCCCCAUCUCUGACAACAUUCAAGGUCAAGUUGGAUGGGGCUCAAAGCAGCAUGCUCUAGUUGAAGAUAGCCCAGGUGAUUGGUUGGACUAGAUGACCUUUAAAGGUGCUUUCCAAUCCGAACCCUUGUAGGAACUGAUGGAAUGAGGAAACUGGCUUCUUGGUAGUUAAUAGGUGACUGAGGAUUCUUUGGUUUCUCUCAUGGCAAAACUUAGCUUGAGUAAGGUAGUGUGCACGGAUUAGACUUUCCCUUCUGGUUCUUAGCAAGUAUGCAUACAAUUACCCAGCUGUUGCCUGCUUUUGGACGUUUGGCUGGAAAGAAAAGGCCCUGCCUUCUCUGAUGAGAUUUCUAGCUUAGGCAGAAUGUCACAAAGCACACCCAGAAGAGGUGGCAUCUAAUAACCUGCCUAUCUUAAGAGCUGCAUGUUUUUUGAAGACCUGUUCAAAUGCCUGACUGCUCUUGAGCAUUUUUCCUAGUGCCCAAUCUGAAGCUCCCUUGGCUCUCCUAAGCUCCCCUGCAGUAUCCAGAGGAGAUGCCACCACCGUUUUGGGCAGCUUGGUCCAGGGCUCCGGCACCCCACAGGAGAGUUUUUCCUUACGUUCAGUGAAGCCUCCUGUGUUGUAGUUUGUGCCGUUGCAGCGUGUUUUGAGUUGCGGGUCGUGCCUCUUCCGCACCCCGCGCAAGCUGGCGGCGCGGAGCCGACCGCGCUCCUGCCCGGCCCUGCCAGCCCCGCGGGGUUGGGCUGCUUCCGCGCAGGCCGGCGCGGCAGUGUCGUGAUCCCGGCGACGCCAUGGUGGAGGCUUGGUAUAUGGACGAGUCGGAGGAGGACCAGCGGGCUCCUCACCGCCUGCAGCCCAACUGCGCCGUCAGCCUGGAGCAGCUGCGCAGCCUCGGCGUCGUCUACCGUAAAUUGGAUGCUGAUAACUAUGAGACUGAUCCGUGUCUGCAAGAGAUUCGGAGAGCAGAAAAUUAUUCUUGGAUGGAUAUAAUAACCAUACAUAAAGACAAGCUUCCAAAUUAUGAGGAAAAGAUAAAAACAUUCUAUGAAGAACACCUACACCUAGAUGAUGAAAUCCGCUACAUCUUAGAUGGGUCUGGCUAUUUUGAUGUUCGAGACAAGGAUGACAAAUGGAUCCGGAUUUCCAUGGAGAAAGGAGACAUGAUAACCCUCCCUGCUGGCAUCUACCACCGCUUCACGCUGGACGAGAACCAAGAGAAGUGGAGGAGGCAGCAGCAGGAGCUAUCAGCACAGCCAUAACAGACUAGGAGAGGGAAUGGGAAGAACGAGCAGGCCACCACAGUGUAGAAAACUUGGCAGCCUUCUGAGGUGGGAUGGUAAUUCCCAGCACGUCCUUGUGUUGAAAGCCUCAGGAUGAAGAUGAAGCUGAGUAGGGUGUUUCCUGCCUUGCUGAGUUUUUCCACUGGGUCAUUUUCCUUGUCCAGAUACACAGGACUGCACCAGUGCUGUUGCUGACAUGAAAGAUGAGGUAGGUGGAGAAAUGGUUAUCCUUUCCAGUACACUGUGGAGUCUCAGACAUGUCUGUAUAUGCCCUCUGAGGAACAUUUAAUGAGUUCAGACCAAAAACUGAAGCACAGGGUGAAUGUAAGUGCCCAGCUGGUAAGAGUAUGCUGUUACCACCUGAGCUGCAGUUAGGCACUGGAAUGACAGAGAGAUAGCACUGGAGUGACAGAGAUGCUUAAGUCCUUUUGAGGCUCAGGGUCUCUGUGCAUAACAUAAUUAUCUGAAUGUCUGAAGUGCAACCUUUUUGCUCCUCUUUAUAAAAAGAGGAAUUUUAAAUGCAAAACUUCAGCUAAGGCACAUUAAGCUUUAAGACUGGGAUGCAACAAUCAGCUCCUUCAGGCUCUGCUUUCUGCAGCUCUUCUCACUUGGCCAGUUGACACAUGUAUGCUGCGUUUUAAAAGUGAGCUCUGCGCUCAUUUACACCAGGAACCCUCAUUAAAUUCAGCCAGAUUCAUUGAAUUGAACAGGAAUACUUGGUGUAAUUAAUGUUUUGAGGACAAUUUUUAUCCUUAGCUUUAAUGCUUCAACACCAUGUAGAGCAUUCAGAUGUGUAACUGGAUGGGUCUGGGAAAUCCAAACCCUUAACUCGCGUGUGUGUGUUAAAUCCAUGCUAUAAAGUGACACUGAUGCUCUCUCUGGCAUUUUAUAAAGAGCUAGCAAUUUGCAUACCUCCAGCAGUGAUCACACCCCUUUGUAUUUAAAUUUUAAUUAUUCUGCAUGUCAAGAUGUCACUUGUUUAAUGGCUCACUGAGCUUAAAGGUCACCCAGUCCCAGUCUCUUCUACUGGUGUUUUGAUCCAGUGACAUGAACACAGCAAACACACUGAACUGGUAACAUAGUACUACAUAUGAAUAGGAGUUUAGAGGAACUUUGAGAGAACAGAGGAUGAUGUUUUUGGGGUGUUCUUUUUUUAAUGGUUAUUUGGCAGUGACUGUGAUUACAGAGUUUUUUCUUCUCUGCUGCUCAGAACACAGGCUAUCAUUUACACUGCAGUGAGGAUAAGGUACUACUGAAUCAAAAAAAAAUGAAGCAUGUUACUCUUUGAUUGUAAAAAGGCAAGUGGCUUGAGCAUGCUGCAUGAUGGUGGCUCCUGUAGGAUUGGGAAAGACAAGCAAGCUUCUUCAAAGCACAAUACGGCAUGACACCUGACCUCCAGCUAAAUGGUGAGGAUCUCUGUUACAGAAUAGUAGUUUAUGUAUCGCAGUCAAAUUUAUUAACUGGAAUUGUAGAAUCAGAGAACAGUUUGAGCUGAAAGGGACUGUUAAACUGCAGCAGGCUCCCUAGAGAGGUGGUUGAAUCCCCGUCCCCAGAAGUAUUUCAAAGACACAGAGAUACAGUGCCGAGGAACAUGGUACACCAGACUUUGUAGUUACAGAACAGUUGGCCUUGAUGACCUUAAAAGUCUUUCCCAGCUGAAAUCAUUCGAUGAUUCAAAGAUCAUCUAGUCCAGCACCCCCUGCCAUAGGUGGGGACACUUCCCACUGAGUCAGGUUGCUCAAAGCCCCAUCCAGUCUAGCUUUGAACACUUUCCAGGAGGUGGCAUCCACACCUUCUGUGGGUAUCCUGUUCCAGUAUCUCUUCACUCUCACAGUAAAGCAUUUCUGCCUCCUGUCCAGUUUAAAUCUGUCCUCUCUCCACUUAAAAUCGUUACCCCUUAUCACUACUCUCUAUCAUAGACAGUUCUUCCAUACCUUUUCUGUUGGCCCCUUUUAAGUACUGUAAAACUUCUACAAGGUUGCCCCAGAGCCUUCUCUGCUCCAGGAUGAACAACCCCAGCUCUCUCAGCCCCUCAGUGCUCACAGAGCAGGUGCUUCAGCCCCCCCUGUCAGCUUUGUGGCUUCCUUCAGACCUGCUCUAACAGUUUCAUGUCUUCUCAUGCUGAGGGCUCCAGGGCUGAACACAGUACUCCAGGUGGGGUUUCACAGAGGUGUGGUAGAGGGGGAGAAUCCCCUCCCUUGACCUGCUGGCUGUGCUGCUUUUGAUGCAGCCCACAGUGUGAUUUGCUUUCUGGGCUGUGAGUUCUCAAUCACUCAUAGCUCAGCCUGUGUUUGUGCUUGAGUUUGCCCUCACCUAGCUGCAGGACCUCGCACUUGGCCUUGCUGAACUUUAUGAGGUUGGCAAGGGCCCACCACUCCAGCCUGUCAGGGUACCUCUGGAUGGAUCCUGUCCCUCCAGCGUUUCAGCUGCACCACACAGCUUGGUGGCAUUGACAAACUUGAUGAGGGUGACUUGAUUCCUCUGUCCAUAUCACUGACAAAGACAUUAAACAGCACCAGUCCCAGUACUGACCCCAGAGGAACACUGGUCUCCUCUUGGACAUCAAGCUGCUGAGUGCAACUCUUUGAGUGUGACCAUCCAGCCAGUUCAUUAUCCAUCCAUCAAAUCCAUGUCUCUCUGAUGUACUGACAUGGAUGUUGUGCAGGACAGCAUCAAAUGACUUGCACAAGUGCAGGUGGAUGAAAUCAGUUGCUCUUCCCUUACUCACCAAUGCUGUAGUGCGGUCAUAGAAGGCCACCAAACGGGUCAGUCAAGAUUUGCCCUUAGUGAAGCUGUGUUGGCUGCCACCAAUCACCUCCUUAUUUUCCACAUGCCCUGGCAGUUUCCAGGAGGAUCUGCUCACAGAGGUGAGAUGUGACAGGCCUGUAGUUCCCUAGGUUUUCCUUUUUUUAAAAGCAAGGCUUAUGUUCCCUUUUGCUAGUCAGUGGGAACUCCACUGGACCACCACAAUGUCUCAAAUACAAUGGGUAGUAGAGGCUUAGGCACCUCCUCUGCCAGUUGCCUCAGGACCUGUGGCUGCAUCUUAUGAAUGGGUUCUGAGGGACCCAUGCACAGUGUACAGUACACUGUAAUGAGGAAUAACCGAGCAGCAGUAGUUUAGUAGGGAUGAAGCUGGUGGUAGGUCAACACAAAGUCUUCACAGUGUUAAGACUGUUAGAGACAACAGAUUCUGCAGCAAUGCCACUGAAUGUCAUAAUGGAAUAGAUUUUAUUUCACAUUUACACAUCAGCAGGAGUAUAUACAAUUAAAAAACCCUUAACCUUGCUGGAGAACAUUAGUUGGACAUGAACUAUCCUAACUUGAGACACUGAGUGUUAAAGCUGUCACCCUCUUUAAUAGCUACAGCCUCUAACAGUGCCUGCUUCUUCUGCAUGCUGCGAGAUGACUCCAGUUCAUACAUCGUUGUCAAGUUGAAGAGCACACUCUCGUGAAGGUAGUGUUUAGGGUCCUGCUGAACCAUUCCUUCCAGCUGCCGGAGGGAGUCCUUCAGUUUUCCCAGGUAAAGAAGACAAACUGCAGCGUUGUUAUUAGCCUAGAGAAGAAGAUAUUAUGAAGAGACACCUAUUUAUUUAUUCCCACCUGUGUGUAUUGACAAGUGAUGAGAGAGGACAAAAAAGAAGUCUAGUAUCUGGAGUUAGAAUAGAUUUACUAGGCAGUAAGAAUUACUGCUUUGUGCAUGUGCAAGUAAGUAAAAUAUGUUAUCCAAUCCUUUUCUUCUCUUUAUUCCUAAGAUUUAUCCUGUGCCAUUAGGACCUGCUGACUUUCAAGAGCUUAAACCCUUAAAAGGCAAAGUCUAACCCAAAAUAUAAAUAGUACAGGACAUUAGUUAAUUCUCAAAGUCAGUUGAAACAUUUCAGAAAUUCUAUGCCCUCAUUUUCAUAGGUUUGUUUUAAUGACUGCACUCUGUCUUCAGAAGUAUUUCUCUGUCUGGCUUACAUAUAAAAGAUCCACAAGCAAUAGAAAGAAAGAAAUUAUCUUCUCACAAAGGCAUCUGCAACUGACUUCAAGUAAAUUCAGCAGAUACAGUCUAAAUACAUCAUAAAUGAUCAAGUCAGGUUCCAUUUUCUUCUUCACACUAAACAGGUUUUAUGAGUUACCAAAAGAUUGCCCCAGUACAAAGCCAUAUAACAUGUUUAGCAGCAGAAACCUUCAUGCUGUCUAAAAGUUCAGCCAAAGGAAGAACACAGCCUUUUCCAAACAAAUUUGUUUUCUCUCCCUUCAGGACAUCUUACUGCUCUCCUGCAAUUUAGAAUUGCUCCUACUUUACAGCCUGCAAAAUGAUGUGACUCGUGCUGCUUCCAGUCAGUCCCUCAGUCUCUACACAGCCUUGGAUCAGGCUGCUGGGGUUAAGGCAGCUCGUGGACACGCACUGCUAGGACCAUGCACCGAAAGCUGCCAGAUGGAGAAACAGAAGGGCAACAAAGCUGGUGAAGGGACUAGAGAGCAGGUCUUAUGAGAAGCGGUUGAGGGAACAGGGCUUGUUAAGUUUGGAGAAGUGGAGGCUGAGAGGACAUCUCAUUGCUUUCUACAGUUCCCUCAAAGGAGGUUGCAAUGAGUUGGGGAUCAGUUUACUGUCCCCAGCAUCAGGUGCCAGAACGAAAGGAAAUUACCUGAAAUUGUGCCAGGGGAGGUUUAGGUUGGAUAUCAGGAAAAGUCUCUUUACUGAAAGAGUUCUGAGCCACUGGAACAAGCUGUCCAGGGUGGUAGUGGAGUCACUGCCCCUGGAGAUGUGUGGAUGUGGCACUCUGGGACAUGGUCAUGGUGAUCUUAGGUUCACAGUUGGACUUGAUAAUCUGAGAGGUCUUUUCCAACUGAAACAAUUCUAUGAAACCCCUGAAGUAAACAAUCAGCUUUUCUCUUAUCUCUUCUUGAGAUGGGAAUCCAAGGCUCUUAUAUGCAGUGUGUUAAAACACCAUGUUUAAAACUACGGCAUCCCCUCAGUGCUGUGUGAAAUCAAGCUAAUCCUCUACACCUUGGCAGUUGCCAUUUGCUUUUCUGACAUGCCUAUCUACACUGCAAACUGUGAAUGCAAACCAAAGUGCUUUUGAGAUCCUGUAAAACAUGUUCUGGAAUUUCUGCAUGCGUGCCUAAGUAUCCAUUGCUGCAUACAGACCGGCUUUGCUUUUCCCACCCCAUUUUCUAUCUUACCCCUACAUAUACUAAAAACCCCUUGGUACACAUCCCACAUCGAACGUUUCUAUAAAGCUCUGAGUGUACUCUGGGUACUAAUUAAGUCCAGGCAUGCAGCAUUAUGAGAAUAAUUUAGGUGUUCAUUAUAGAUGUAGCAAUUUGGAGAUUUACCACAGCAUUUGAUGAGUCGAUCCUUAAAAUUUCUGUGAAAAAUCGAUGAGCUUCUGCAAAAUUAUUCUGACCAAGGUGGAGAAAGGCUCUGGAAAGUAAGUGACAUAUGAAUGAGUUCUCCUCAAAAUUCCCAAGGUGAUAAUAGAUUUUAAAAAGAAAGGAGACCAUUUUUUAUCUUUUGUGUUAUAGAUGUGAGAGUUUCUGACAUUUGCUCUUCACGGUGUAAUUACAGGCGGCAAGGAGAGACUGAUUUACGGACAAAGGGCAUGACAACUUGGAUCACCUGGUUAUUAGAUAUUCUGCCUACCAAAGCAACAGGCUUAGCUGUGUUUUUAUUAAUUUAAAUGCAGACACUCUCUGCCUGAAAUUAUUUCCCUUCACUAAAUUAGCCACACUAUAUUAUUUUCAGAGCACUUUUGAACAGUAUUUCCUAAAUUUAUUCAGUCAAGGUGCUAACCAUUACAAACUGACCCUCCUGUCAUGCAGCUCCAUUUUACUACAGUGUGUUCCAGCAGCCUUUGAGACUAUCAGGUGGCAACUUUACUAUCAGGUCCGAUUAUGGGACAAGGUCCCAAAAAUAGCUUUUCCUCUCCUCAGACUUACUUAGGCAAAUGUAUAUUGAAAAAGCUGAGUGAAAAAAUAUGCAGUGCCUGAAAGAAGGAGAAAAACCUUUGUACAAUCCAGUGAAGCAUCCCAAUUUCAAUCCAGGUAACAAGACUGUACCAAGUAACACCCAUCUCCGGGGGGCUAUAAGUCAGUCAGUCUUGUGACAGAUGUAGUUAUACAAAAGAAAGAAAUAGAAUGGGCUUGUCUCCAGGGCAGUUGAAUGCUCACAAUGGCUACUUGGCAAAACUCUAUUUUAAAGUUUCACUAAGGUGUUACAUUACCUACCUGUUCAUUAAAACCAUAAUUUGGCUCUGCAGUCCAUCCAAUUUGUGACUCACUUUUUCAACGUCUUGAAAAUAUUUUUCUGCAGUUUUGAUGUCUCCAAUCUAGACAGUAAAACCAUAAGGAAGUUACCACAACAAGAAGAAAGGAGAUGCAGCCUGAUCAGAACUUUAACAAAGGGGAGAAGAGACUGACCUCCACCUCACUACAACCUUCUUUUGGAGAGUUGCAGAGAGCCAGGUCUCCAAUCAGCCUCUUUUUCUCCAGACUAAACAACCCUGGUUCCCCCAGCUGCUGUUCAGAAGACCUGCUCUCCAGGCCCUUCACCAGCUUUGUUGCCUUUCUGUGCACAUGCUCCAGCACCUCACUGUCGUUCUCGUAGUGAGGGCCACAAAUCUGAACCUGGGACUCAAAGUGUGGCCUCAGCAGUUCUGAGUACAGAGGAACAAUCAAUUCCUUGCUCCUUCUGUCACACUAUUCCUGAUACAGGCCAGGAUGCUGUUGGCCUUCUUGGCCACCUGGGCACACACUGGCUCAUGGUCAUGUUUUCAGUACCAAUCUUUAAUAUGCCUAAUUACAUGAUUGCCUAUUGAGCUAAUAAUGCACACAGCAAGUACCAUAUUAUUAUUCUAUAGUGAUGGAGAUCUGCUUCAAACCAAAGUCUUUUGAAGAUAAAUGUCUGCCACACUGUGAAAACAUGCUCAUGCUAAGAACUUAGUAUGUAGAACUGGGUUUGAAUCACAGUCUACAAUUUCAACCAAAUAAUAUUAACAAUUUAGUUAUCAAGAGCAAAUUAUUGCAACUCAAUAGAAUCUGAUAAUGUGAAUGGCACUAAUAAGAUUGCUUGUACAUAUUCUAAAAUUCAAAAUUAAUUUAUGAUAAAUAUGAGUUUGAAGUAUCAGUGUCAUAAAUAUGAAAGAAUUGCAAAGAAUUUGUAUUAAAAAUUAAAUCAUUAAUUUUUUAGAUGCGUAAUUUUCUGAUACACAAAAAGUACUGCUGUACUUAGAUCUUUUUUCUACUCUAUUAUAGUAAGUACACAGUUAAAUAACAAUGUAUUCUACUCGUGCAGUCCUGAUCUUUAUUUUAAUGUGCCCUCCCCUGUUAUCUCAGGGAUAUAACCUGGACAAAAGACUUUUCUAGAUGAAGAUGUCAGUUUUACAGCGUGACUGAGAGCUGUAUCCAGUUUGAGGCAGUGAGAAGUGUGAUUUUUACUGAAAUUGUGGCUCACUAAGGUCAGUGGAAGCUUUUACCAUUAGUUUUAGGAAAAGCAGAAUAUUGCUAUUUGACUAAAUUCUUAGCACAAUUUUCUACGUGUCUGCAUGUGUACUUUUAAUAUGGUAAGUGCUUUGUAUUUCCCAAUUUGAUCUAAUAUCACAUGGCAGAUUUGUUUGUUUUGACCACAGCCUCUACAAUGUGAUGCAUGCUCUGUAAAAACAGAUAAAGUUUUAAUGCAGGAAUUACUCACUACAUAACUGUUAACACCUACAUCACCUAGUAGAUUUAUAAUAAAAUGCAUACCUGAAGGAAAAUCCUUCCAAUUCCACUCAGCAGCUGAGGUUCUUGCUGUGGGUAGUAUUUGAUGACAGUGUGAUAAGCAUCUACAGCAAGUGCGUAGUCCUAAGGGGUGAAAAGCACACAAGCAGAUAUUUAAGCUCAGCAUUCUUCAGUCUUUAGGUUGCCUUCUUUGUAAAGAAAUGUUCAAGCAGAAAUCAAGUAAUUGCAACUUGUCAGUGAGACAGCAUUUCUACUUAUCACUGCAGACACUAGUAGUUGACUGGUCUUUUCUCACUUAUACUGGAACUGCAUAUAUAGGGAAUCUUAUUUUUUUUUCCAUCUGGAUCAUAUUCUGUUUGUAGCCAAAUGCCAAGAAUAAAAAAUCUGAACAUUU